rnacentral:rRNA from 1 species
GACGAACGCUGGCGGCGUGCUUAACACAUGCAAGUCGAACGGAAAGGCCCCUUUGGGGGUACUCGAGUGGCGAACGGGUGAGUAACACGUGAGUAACCUGCCCUUGACUUCGGGAUAACUUCAGGAAACUGGGGCUAAUACCGGAUAGGAAUCCUUGCUGCAUGGUGUGGGUUGGAAAGCUUCGGCGGUUUUGGAUGGACUCGCGGCUUAUCAGCUUGUUGGUGGGGUAGUGGCUUACCAAGGCUUUGACGGGUAGCCGGCCUGAGAGGGCGACCGGCCACAUUGGGACUGAGAUACGGCCCAGACUCCUACGGGAGGCAGCAGUGGGGAAUAUUGCACAAUGGGCGGAAGCCUGAUGCAGCAACGCCGCGGGCGGGAUGACGGCCUUCGGGUUGUAAACCGCUUUCAGCAGGGGCGAAGCUUGUGGUGACGGUACCUGCAGAAGAAGCACCGGCUAACUACGUG